rnacentral:rRNA from 1 species
CGGGAAGAGCUCAAAUUUAAAAUCUGGCAGCCUUGUGUUGUCCGAGUUGUAGUCUAGAGAAGCAUCAUCCGUGCUGGACCAUGUACAAGUCUCUUGGAACAGAGCGUCAUAGAGGGUGAGAAUCCCGUC